UCCUCUGUUUCUUCCUCCUGGCCCUCCCAGCAGGCUAGAGCCCCGUUUCUGCUCGCUGAGCGGAACAGCCCUGAAGGUCCUCCUCCAGAGAACACAAUGUGUAGAGGUCUUCUAGCGGUAGCUCAUCUUAUUUGGCAAUGAAUGGUUCAUUGCAUGCCAAGGUCACACAGGGUCCUAGUUUGCCGUGAGCAGGACCAUUCCAGUUUUAAAACUUGAAGGUCCCUGUCCUGGGAAAACUCUCCGUCCCAAGCAAACUGGGACAGUUGGUCAUCCUACUUCAUUCACGUGGACACUAUUGUGACAUUACUGUGCACUGUUUUUCUCACAUUUAACAGUUGAGCCUUGUAGAUGAAAUUGUAAGAGUGACCCUGAUACAUAACAUGUCGUCAUUUAUGAGUAUGGAUGUGUAUUGAAGGCUCUUUGUAUCUUCAUAGGGUGGAGGUAAAUGCAGCAUUAUGUGUUUGCCCCCUGAAUACACAUCCACUAAAAGACUAUGAUUGGACCUCAGCCAUCACAUCUGCUCUUGGGGUGUCACACCAGAGUUCUAGGUGGACCCAGAGUUGCAGAGACAAGGUCAGGGGAAGGAGCCGAGAAAGAGGUUAACAAGACCGCAGAUGCUGCAGAUGGGAUUCACACGAAGAUGUCCUUCCCACCAGCCAGGCCAUCGCUGGCUUUGUAAGGUAAUGAGAUUAGUAACGUUAGAGGUGUUGAAACACAGCCCGAGUGGUCGCUUGUACACUAUGCUGCAGAGAGGAGGGUUCAAAUGGUUCCAGACAGCCCUGAGAUUCACAGGAUUUGUGCACAAAUCAGAGGUAAAGAGCCCUUAGCUUUCAUGUGAAUACAUAAUUCCCUCUGAUGUGCGCAGAAAUUCUCACCAAAAUCUUGUGAAUUUCCAGCAAGUGUUGCGAAAUACUUAGAAACUCCUCCAAGAAGUGAGCAGGUCUUGUCUGUCCUAUCUCCCUUUUCUCUCCUUGAGUCUACUCCAGUUGGGUUUUCUCCUACACCACUCCACUGAAACUUAGGAGUUAACUGAACAUGAACCAAUGAACAAGUGAAAGUAAUGUUUCUUCUAGUUGCAUAUGACUAGCUGUGUGAUUAAAAUGACCAAACUGGCAAGUUGUGUUUAAAUGCUUAAUAAAAGCUAGGUUUAAAUUGUUAACUUAAAAAAAACGAAUAGAAAUGAAAACCCAGAAAGCUACACUGUCAUCUCUCAGCACAACUUUCAUUCUCAUAUAAAGAAACUCAUUUUCUAAGUAGGAAGGUUGUUCCAAACUGCCGGAGAUUCCCGGGAAUGAAGGCCCAGGUUUUGUGGAGUUUCCAUCGGUCUCCUUGUAGACGCAGCCAUCUGCCACCAGGUGGCAGAACAAGACGAGAAAACGGUGCCCCACGGAGUCCCUGAGCCCCUUCUGCUGCAGUUUUUGAGGACAUUUGGACAGCAGGGAAUCAGAAACGUGGGAAAGUGAGGGUCAGCAACCGAAAACCUUGCCAACUGCUAUGGACUGAAUUGUGUUCCUCCACCCCGCAAUUAAUGGGUUGAAGCCCUGACGUCUAAUGGGACUGUAUCUGGAGCUAGAGCCUUUAGGAGGGAAUUGGGGUUAAAUGAGGUCAUAAGGGUGGAGGCCUGCUCCGACAGGAUUAGUGUCCUUAUGAGAUGAGACGCCACAGAGCUCAUUGUAUCUGUCAGUGUCUCGAGGUAGUGACAACUGUGAUUCUGCAGGGACAUUUGGACAGCAGGGGUGUCUCUUCCUCUCUGCAUCGCAUGCACCCAGGAAAGGCUGUGCGACAUCUUAGCCAGAAGGAGGCCAACCAUGACCAGAGCCUUCACCAGAAACCAAAUCGGAGAGCCUUCACCAGAAACCUUGAUCUUGAUCUUCCCACUUGGCAGCACUGUGAGAAAAUAAAUGUCUGUUGUUUAAGUCA